AUGGCUCAAGGCAUAUGUGAGUUAUUGUGGUUGCAGAUUCUCCUAGCAGAGCUGCGGUUGCACAAGCACAAACCUCUGAUGUUGUACUGUGACAACAAAGCUGCCAUUGAUAUCGCAAAUAACCCUGUUCAGCAUGAUCGAACCAAGCACAUAGAAAUUGAUCGUCAUUUCAUCAAGGAGAAGCUUGAUAGAGGGAUAAUUUGCCUACCAUAUGUAACUUCAGCCAGUCAAGUAGCGGAUGUACUUACAAAAGGACUCCCUGAAAAAACUUUUUCCAUGUUUUGUAGCAAGAUGGGUUUGUACGACAUCUUCGCCCAUCUUGAGGGGGAGUGUUGGUGUAUAGAUAAUGUAAUUAUAGGAAUCCUUAGGGUCUAA
rnacentral:rRNA from 1 species